UGCCUACUAAUACAUGGAUUAACAUCCUUCUCAAAGGUCCCAUGGCAUGAAAAAAAAUUUACUAUAUGAGGUUUUCUAACAUUAAUAUGAGUUCCCCUAGCCUGCCUAUGGUCCCCCAGUAGCUAGAAAUGGCGUUAGGUGUAAAACGAGCACUAGGUAUCCUGCUCCGCCUCCGAAAAAUGAAAGCUCAGAUGCUCCGAUUUGGAAUGUGGCCCCAUAUGUCGUCAUAGGGUGCCAAGUUACCUCCCCUUUCUCUGCCUUGCCCACCCAGAGAAUUCGGCCUGCCAAUGAGACGAUGAGCUAUGACCGGACUGUGCACACUGAGACCCAAUGGUAAGACCAGGAAAACUGUGUCUGUACUGCACCUCAACCAGAGGACGAUGAUGAGGAUGGUGAGGAGGAAGAAGAGGGCGACGAUGAUCUCUGCGCCGG
ensembl:lncRNA